rnacentral:rRNA from 1 species
UACGUAGGGGGCGAGCGUUGUCCGGAUUUAUUGGGCGUAAAGAGCGUGUAGGCGGCUUGGUAGGUCUGCUGUGAAAACUCGGGGCUCAACCCCGAGACGUCGGUGGAAACCACCUGGCUAGAGUCCGGAAGAGGAGAGUGGAAUUCCUGGUGUAGCGGUGAAAUGCGUAGAUAUCGGGAGGAACACCUGUGGCGAAAGCGGCGCACUGGACCAUAACUGACGCUGAGGCGCGAAAGCUAGGGGAGCAAACAGG